rnacentral:misc_RNA from 1 species
GAUGAAGAACGUAGUAAAAUGCGAUAAGUAAUGUGAAUUGCAGAAUUCAGUGAAUCAUCGAAUCUUUGAACGCACAUUGCGCCCGCCAGUAUUCUGGCGGGCAUGCCUGUUCGAGCGUCAUUUCCACCCUCAAGCACAGCUUGGUGUUGGGACUCGCGUUAAUUCGCGUUCCCCAAAUUGAUUGGCGGUCACGUCGAGCUUCCAUAGCGUAGUAGUAAAACCCUCGUUACUGGUAAUCGUCGCGGCCACGCCGUUAAACCCCAACUUCUGAAUGUUGACCUCGGAUCAGGUAGGAAUACCCGCUGAACUUAAGCAUAUCAAUAAGCGGAGGA